AGUCUAAUAAAGCGCACAUUUUUGGAGAAUUUUAUGUAUUAAGCAGCAGCUUUAAGAAGGACAUAUGUGAUCGCGUGGUGAAAGAGUUGGAGACAUAAGGUGUUUCAGGGUCUUUUGGCUAUAAGAUGUCUGAUGAUCUACAAGUAGCCAAUGAAGCAAAAAGAUACGAUUCAGGAAGGUAGAAUGAGUCCAAUGAAAUGGCAAGUGAUGCUGGGGCCAACAAGCAUUCUAAUAAAGGGUCCAAGAAAAAAAAAGGGGGAAAGCCACUGGAAAUGCAGCAGCAAAUCUAUCUGAAAGUGGUCCAGCUAACCAGGAACAGGCAUCCACAAAAUCUAAGAAAAACCUUUGAAAGAGCAAGGAUACAUCGUCACAAACAUCAGAUUCAAAGUCAGGUUCAAGGAAAAAAUUAGUUAAAUGAAGGACGACAAUCUUAGUAGUCCCUCAGAAGAAUGGAUCGUGCAGAACAUUACUACCCUGUUUCCCGAGUUUGAAGAACAAGGUCUAGAUGAUCCUGAAACAAUUCUUGAGCCUUUGGCUAACAAAUUAAGGCCUACAAUAAUCAGUUCUUGGAUGGAUAAAAGGAAGGCAUUACUAACAGAAAAUGCAGACAUAAUGAAAUGAUUGCUUGAUAAUUUGCAGAAGAAACUUGAUGAGGUUUGGUAAAGUGGCACAAACACAACUUUUGUGGUCUUUUAUACAUACAGUUUACUAUCGUAAUUGUUUUUUCCGUGUUUCCCUGGUGGCAUUCUUUCUUAAAC